rnacentral:rRNA from 1 species
GACGAACGCUGGCGGCGUGCCUAAUACAUGCAAGUAGAACGCUGUUGAGAACGGGUGAGUAACGCGUAGGUAACUUCCUCAUAGCGGGGGAUAACUAUUGGUAACGAUUGCUAAUACCGCCUACUGUGAGUUGCACCUGCGUUGUAUUAGCUAGUUGGUGAGGGAAAGGCUCACCAAGGCGACGAUACAUAGCCCGCCUGAGAGGGUGGUCGGCCACACUGGGAAUGAGGAAAGGCCCAGGAUCCUUACGGAGGGAGCAGUAGGGAAAUCUCGGGAAUGGGCGGAAGGCUGAACGGGCAAAGCCGCGUGAGUGAAGAAGGUUUUCGGGUUGUAAAGCCCUGUUGUUAGGGAAGCGGUAUCUAACCAGAAAGGGACGGCUAACUACGUGCCAGCAGCCGCGGUAAUUC